rnacentral:miRNA from 1 species
UCACCGGGUGAAAAUCAAGGC